GGCCUGGUGGUCUAGUAGUAUGAUUCCUUCUUAGGGUUCUUCGAGAGUCACAUGGAGGAGGUCCCGGGUUCAAUUCCCGGCCAGGCCC
rnacentral:tRNA from 1 species